CUACAGAGGGUGCGAGCGUUAAUCGGAAUUACUGGGCGUAAAGCGCGCGUAGGCGGCUACUUAAGUCAGAUGUGAAAUCCCCGGGCUCAACCUGGGAACUGCAUCUGAUACUGGGUAGCUAGAGUUUUGGAGAGGGAAGUAGAAUUUCAGGUGUAGCGGUGAAAUGCAUAGAGAUCUGAAGGAAUACCAGUGGCGAAGGCGACUUCCUGGCCAAAAACUGACGCUGAGGUGCGAAAGCGUGGGUAGCAAACGGGAUUAGAUACCCUAGUAGUCC
rnacentral:rRNA from 1 species